AACGAACGCUGGCGGCAUGCCUAACACAUGCAAGUCGAACGAGAUCUUCGGGUCUAGUGGCGCACGGGUGCGUAACGCGUGGGAAUCUGCCCUUUGGUUCGGAACAACAGUUGGAAACGACUGCUAAUACCGGAUGAUGACGAAAGUCCAAAGAUUUAUCGCCAGAGGAUGAGCCCGCGUAGGAUUAGCUAGUUGGUGUGGUAAAGGCGCACCAAGGCGACGAUCCUUAGCUGGUCUGAGAGGAUGAUCAGCCACACUGGGACGGAGACACGGCCCAGACUCCUACGGGAGGCAGCAGUGGGGAAUAUUGGACAAUGGGCGAAAGCCUGAUCCAGCAAUGCCGCGUGAGUGAUGAAGGCCUUAGGGUUGUAAAGCUCUUUUACCCGGGAUGAUAAUGACAGUACCGGGAGAAUAAGCUCCGGCUAACUCCGUGCCAGCCGCCGCAGUAA
rnacentral:rRNA from 1 species